GCUCACUUUCCAAAAGUGGCGCUUUUUUGGGGAGCAACGAGGAGGGGCUGGAAUUACCCCUGCCUUCCAGAGUGCCAGGGGAGCAGCAGGAGGCUGCCUGCACUCUGGAUUCAGGCCAAAGAUGUUAAAUGACACGAGAACAAAGUUCAGAGCUGCCUUCAAACCCCAUUCCAGUGCCGGAAGCGCGAAAGCAGAUCCCCGCGAUGGAUGAACAUGAAAAGCCAAACAUAUCGAUCACUGUGUGCAGCGCUGGCAGCCCAGCUGUGGUGGCAGCAGCCUUGCAGGCUGUGCUGCAGUCGCACAAUCACACACAAGGCUGGGAGCAGUGUCCCUGCUGCAGGAACCAUCAGGACCACGGAGCUGCCCUGCCCGAGGGGCCCAAACGCCUGUGGCCUCUGCUCCACGACCCCCAGAGCACGUGGUGUGCAAGGGCUUGAGAUCCAGGUGACAUCUGUCUACUCUGUCCUGGAGCAAAACCUAUCUCCACGUGCAGCUUCUGUGGGAAUAUGGGGUGUGAUGGACACAGCCUUAGCCAAC